UACGUAGGGUGCGGAGCGUUGUCCGGAAUUAUUGGGCGUAAAGAGCUCGUAGGCGGCUUGUCGCGUCGUCCGUGAAAAUCCACAGCUCAACUGUGGGCUUGCGGUCGAUACGGGCAGGCUAGAGUUCGGUAGGGGAGACUGGAAUUCCUGGUGUAGCGGUGAAAUGCGCAGAUAUCAGGAGGAACACCGGUGGCGAAGGCGGGUCUCUGGGCCGAUACUG
rnacentral:rRNA from 1 species